GUACUCUCUGGCAGCACAUAUACUAAAAUUCUAACAAUACAGUGAAGAUUAGCAUAGUCUCUGCACAAGGAUAACAUGUAAAUGCACGAAGCAGUCCACAUUUAG
ensembl:snRNA U6 U6 spliceosomal RNA